rnacentral:rRNA from 1 species
UACGUAGGGGGCAAGCGUUGUCCGGAAUCAUUGGGCGUAAAGCGCGCGUAGGCGGCUCGAUCAGUCUGCUGUAAAAGUCAAAGGCUCAACCUUUGAAUGCCGGUGGAUACUGUCGGGCUAGGGUCCGGAAGAGGCGAGUGGAAUUCCUGGUGUAGCGGUGGAAUGCGCAGAUAUCAGGAGGAACACCAACGGCGAAGGCAGCUCGCUGGGACGGUACUGACGCUAAGGCGCGAAAGCGUGGGGAGCGAACAGG